UACGGGGGGAGCAAGCGUUGUUCGGAUUUACUGGGCGUAAAGGGCGCGUAGGCGGUCAGCACAAGUCAGUUGUGAAAUCUCCGGGCUUAACUCGGAAAGGUCAACUGAUACUGUGCGACUAGAGUGCAGAAGGGGCAACUGGAAUUCUCGGUGUAGCGGUGGAAUGCGCAGAUAUCAGGAGGAACACCAACGGCGAAGGCAGCUCGCUGGGACGGUACUGACGCUAAGGCGCGAAAGCGUGGGGAGCGAACAGG
rnacentral:rRNA from 1 species